AUCUCUGGCCGAGCCACCCUGAAUGUGCCUGAUCUUGUCUGAUCUCAGAAGCUAAGCAGGGUCAGGCCUGGUUAGUACUUGGAUGGGAGACCACCUAAGAAGACCAAAUGCUAUCGGCG
rnacentral:rRNA from 1 species